UACGAAGGGGGCUAGCGUUGCUCGGAAUCACUGGGCGUAAAGCGCACGUAGGCGGCUUUUUAAGUCAGGGGUGAAAUCCUGGAGCUCAACUCCAGAACUGCCUUUGAUACUGAGAAGCUUGAGUCCGGGAGAGGUGAGUGGAACUGCGAGUGUAGAGGUGAAAUUCGUAGAUAUUCGCAAGAACACCAGUGGCGAAGGCGACGCACUGGCCCGGUACUGACGCUGAGGUGCGAAAGCGUGGGGAGCAAACAGG
rnacentral:rRNA from 1 species